AGAGUUUGAUCCUGGCUCAGGAUGAACGCUGGCGGCGUGCUUAACACAUGCAAGUCGAACGAUUAAGACGGCUUCGGCCGUGUAUAGAGUGGCGAACGGGUGAGUAACACGUGACCAACCUGCCCCGCGCUCCGGGACAACCGCUGGAAACGGCGGCUAAUACCGGAUGCUCCGGGGAGGCCCCAUGGCCUCCCCGGGAAAGCCUUAACGGCGCGGGAUGGGGUCGCGGCCCAUUAGGUAGACGGCGGGGUAACGGCCCACCGUGCCCGCGAUGGGUAGCCGGACUGAGAGGUCGACCGGCCACAUUGGGACUGAGAUACGGCCCAGACUCCUACGGGAGGCAGCAGUGGGGAAUUUUGCGCAAUGGGGGCAACCCUGACGCAGCAACGCCGCGUGCGGGACGAAGGCCUUCGGGUUGUAAACCGCUUUCAGCAGGGAAGACAUAGACGGUACCUGCAGAAGAAGCUCCGGCUAACUACGUGCCAGCAGCCGCGGUAAUACGUAGGGGGCGAGCGUUAUCCGGAUUCAUUGGGCGUAAAGCGCGCGUAGGCGGCCGCCUAAGCGGAACCUCUAAUCCCGGGGCUCAACCUCGGGCCGGGUUCCGGACUGGGCGGCUCGAGUGCGGUAGAGGCAGGCGGAAUUCCCGGUGUAGCGGUGGAAUGCGCAGAUAUCGGGAAGAACACCGAUGGCGAAGGCAGCCUGCUGGGCCGCCACUGACGCUGAGGCGCGAAAGCUGGGGGAGCGAACAGGAUUAGAUACCCUGGUAGUCCCAGCCGUAAACGAUGGGCGCUAGGUGUGGGGGGACCAUCCCCCCGUGCCGCAGCCAACGCAUUAAGCGCCCCGCCUGGGGAGUACGGCCGCAAGGCUAAAACUCAAAGGAAUUGACGGGGGCCCGCACAAGCAGCGGAGCAUGUGGCUUAAUUCGAAGCAACGCGAAGAACCUUACCAGGGCUUGACAU
rnacentral:rRNA from 1 species